UACGAAGGUGGCAAGCGUUACUCGGAAUUACUAGGCGUAAAGCGCAGGUAGGUGGUUUGGUAAGUCCGCAAUGAAAUCUCCCGGCUUAACUGGGGGGGGUUUGUGGAUACUGUCAGGCUCGAGUGUGGGAGAGGUAACUGGAAUUCCUGGUGUAGCGGUGAAAUGCGUAGAUAUCAGGAGGAACACCAAUGGCGAAAGCAGGUUACUGGCCCAAUACUGACGCUGAGCUGCGAAAGCUAGGGGAGCAAACAGG
rnacentral:rRNA from 1 species